rnacentral:lncRNA from 10 species
UGAACAUGGUACCUGCCUUCUCUAAUAGCAAGGAGAAAGGAUGAUGAAUGUAAAAUAUUCCACAUUAAACUAUGGAGGUGAUACUUAUAGGAAACCUAACAAAUAACAACAACAGCAACAAUAAUAAUAAAAAAAUACAUUAUGAGGAACUCAUGAAAACAAACCAAAAAAGCAAGACUGAGCUAAUCCUCAAAUAAUUUAUAGGGCUUUGAUUGGUACUAUAAGAUUCAGCAUACAUGAAAUGUGAGAUGGAGCAAAGUGGCCUAUCCUGUGCAAAAAUACCAUAUUUUAACAACUAGUUACACACAGAAAGCAUCAUCAAUAGAACCAAAAAUCAGGCCAGCGGUGGCCACAUGGCAUGGAGAAAUCUGCUUGGGAGAGGGAGAGCACAGAGAUUGUGAGACUUUAAAUUGAACUCAGUGCUGCCCUGUUAUAGUGGAGAGCAAAGCGAUGCUGGGCUCAGCCAGCACGUGCACUCAGAGAGAACAUUUGCACCAGACCUAUCCAGAGGGGAAUCACCCA